rnacentral:rRNA from 1 species
GUGCCAGCAGCCGCGGUAAGACAGAGGGUGCAAACGUUGUUCGGAAUUACUGGGCGUAAAGCGUGUGUAGGCGGCUUUGCAAGUCGGAUGUGAAAGCCCCGGGCUCAACCCGGGAAGUGCACUCGAUACUGCAGAGCUUGAGUAUCGGAGAGGUUGGUGGAAUUCUCGGUGUAGAGGUGAAAUUCGUAGAUAUCGAGAGGAACACCGGCGGCGAAGGCGGCCAACUGGACGAAUACUGACGCUGAGACACGAAAGCGUGGGGAGCAAACAGGAUUAGAUACCCUCGUAGUCC